GUUAAAAUAGCUUAUAAUUAGAGCAUGACACUGAAGAUGUUGGGGAGGCUUAUUGGCCUUUAAGCA
rnacentral:tRNA from 1 species